UCAGACAGAACUCUCCAAACAAGUUUUCUCCCUUCUCACGGCCACUAGCAGUCCUGGAGCCCCAGGGAGCCCCCACCUAGCCAGCAUGUCACUCUCGCAUCUGUGAGGCGGGUGCGUGCUUACCUUGUUAUCCAGGCGCCCCAACCCUGGGCUGUCACUCCGCAGACAGCAGGACAGCCGAGGGUAGAAGCCACCGCACAGCAUCUCUCCCCCACUCAGCAGCUCCAGCUGGGACAUCAUCCGCCUAUCUCUCCUUUUCAGGCGCUUCGGGGGGUUCCCAUUCAGGCACCUUCUCCUCCGCGCUCCGCUCCCUUCGAUUCUUUCCCCAAACUUAGCAUCUCCUUCAAAGAAGCCCAGAGCCACGGCCAGGAGCAGCAGCUUAAAGGAGAGCAUCUUCAGCAUCGUCUGCCCCGAGCGGCAGGGGCUCGGCGCGGGAGGCUGGGGGGGGAACGCCACUGCCCACCAGGGGCACUAGGGCGCAGCUCCAGGAGGAGGCUGCGGGGGACACUCGAGAGGCAGAGAGUGGUGCCGGGGGCGGAAAUAUGUAGAGCGAUGCAACUUUGCGAAAAAUGAAAGACAAGGCGAUGGGUCCAGUGCCUUAGGGGAGUCCGAGGACCGAGACAGGGUUGUGCAGAUGACACCGUUUGCAGUUGUGCCAGGGUCAGUUGGGUUAGGGGCUUCCUGCUGCGGCUGGGAAGUGGGAGGAGGAGAAAGAGUUGGAAGAGGAGGAGGAAGAAGAGGAGGAGAAGACGGCCACAGAGGUUCACUUGUCCGUGUAACGGGAGUUGUUUAGGUGAGACAGUAGCAGGAACAGAAAAGGCGGCGGCGGCGGCGGCGGGGCAGACGCAGGCAGGGCCAGCGCUGGGCUCUAGAUGAUGCUGAGGUCUCCUCUGCCGGCGGCUGCAGCUUCUCACACAGCCUCUCAUGUUUCGCUCCCUCUUUUCUUCUUCUUUUUAACUAGCGCGCGGGGAGGUGCUGCCACCGCGCGCCCCUUGACGUCACCGCUCCUUGCGCGCCCCCGCCCGGGCCGAGGUGGGGGUGGAGGGGAGGGGGCGGCCCCGGCGCGAGCGCGUCCCCCGGGCCCGACGGCCUCGCGGCUGCGGCGGGGAGGGGCCACAGGCCGCGGCGGCGGACGGAGGGGGAGGGCCUGGCGGAGCCCUCGGAGCCAGCCUCGAAGGCGCGGGACGGAGCGCGCCCGCCUCGCCAGGGCGCCCGGCUGGGGGCGUCACUGGCCCCGGCCCGCGGGGGCGCGGAGAUGGCCCGCUGGUUCCCCUCUCUUCCGCAGAGCCCCUCCGCACUACCCCUGGCUAAAGGCGGCCCGGCCGAGGCUCCGAGAGCAAAGGCCGGGGUACAACCCAGAUCCUGCGAGCCGCCGAGUAGGUUAAGGCGGUCCGAAGACUGUUCGAGAAGAAGAAUCCAUCCUUGCUUAAGGUGCCGCGCCCUGCUGAGGUGACACAAGCGCGUCUGCAUGCAUGCGGUGGGGUGUCGGGGCCCCCAGUCCUGCGGGCAGGGCCCGGACGCCCCUUCCGAGUCCGACCUGUGCCCUGGAACCCAGGUGGACCCCGCCCGCACCUUCCCGGAACGCCGGAGCGCACCCCCCCCGCAGGUGGAGGACAGAGGAAGUUGGCCACAGAAUCAGCGUUCAUUUUAAAUGAAAAAAAAAAAAAAAAAAAAAAUCCUGGGGAGAUUUCCCGGGUGGUGUAAAUACAGAGGCUACCGAAGCAUUAGUUCUGGAGGAAGAAUUCGUAGCAGGUUUGCGGGAGUCCCGAAGCGGGAUGCCCUAUGAACCCGAUGUACCUAGAUAAUAACCUUUCCCCCAGCUAGUCGAAGUCUGUGUACAAGUGUUUCGAAAAAGAUCUGUACCUUAUCAAGAGUGGUGACCUGACGCUUACGCGAUGCCCGCAAUUUGGCGUGAGGGUGAGCCGAUGCAGGGUUGCACACAAAAUGUGCCUUGUGCCCAUUGGAGUAAGAGGGAGGCAGAUUUUCUGGUAGAUGGGAUUUUGAAGAAGAGAUAAAGCAGUUUUCCCAUUUGGGCAAUGGAAGAAUGUUCCCCAUAUUUGGAUUUGCUUCACUUCUAGUACAUAAGCUUCGCCAAACUAACGUGAAAGUCGACGAUGGCGGAAGUGGACAGGGGAUUAAGCUAAUUGCUGUUAAAGUGACCUCAGUGGCCAGAUAGGGCUUCUGCCCCUUUCAGUUUCUGGACCUGGAUUUACUAGUGGAGUGGCUUGAGCUCCGACUCCAAGUGAUGAAUUCAUCUUAGUAGUUUUGGAACAGGCCUUCCUUAUGGUUUGUACUUCAAGACUAAGGACACUUAAAAGAGGGAAGUUGCAUAGUUCACCUGUAGCCAACUUGACAGCAUAAUUUUUAGGAGUCAAGAAUCGACAUUGGGUUAUUUCUUAAGAUUGAGCCUUGAAAGUCCACUUGGAUGUGACGCAGCUCUGUGCACACUUGCACAUGAAAAUGAUCUUCCAUCAAGGAGCUCUCCCUCUUCAGCUAAAUCAACAGCAGUCGUUCGAAGAAGAAGGGACCCCCUAUCUGACCAAACUCAGCCAGACUAAUCAAAUAAGUCUUUGUGAGCAAGGAGUAAAGCUGCACUAGGGUGGCCCUAUCACACCUUUCUUGAGCAGCUCUCUCUAAGAUUGCCAUCUACAUGCAGGUCAUACCCUGUACGAAGGAUGGAUGGAAGAUUCUUGUGAACAGAUUAGGUUUAUUGUAAAAGAUGAAAUAUUUGACCAAAAUUGAAGUUAAUUUCAUGGAUAAAGUUCAAAAUAUUACUGUGGAUAUGAAUUAUGUUUGUAUGUAUUUAUAUAUGUAUGUAUAUAUAGUUAUGUGGUUACAUGGUUCUAUGUAUCAGAAAUUAGCACAACUUAAACUUAGUAAAUGUUGAAAAUAAAACUAUUUUGGAUAUUGGAA